CCUACGGGGGGCUGCAGUGGGGAAUAUUGGACAAUGGGGGCAACCCUGAUCCAGCCAUGCCGCGUGUGUGAAGAAGGCCCUCGGGUUGUAAAGCACUUUCAGUGAGGAAGAACGCCUGGUGGUUAAUACCCAUCAGGAAAGACAUCACUCACAGAAGAAGCACCGGCUAACUCCGUGCCAGCAGCCGCGGUAAUACGGAGGGUGCGAGCGUUAAUCGGAAUUACUGGGCGUAAAGCGCGCGUAGGUGGCUUGAUAAGCCGGUUGUGAAAGCCCCGGGCUCAACCUGGGAACGGCAUCCGGAACUGUCAAGCUAGAGUGCAGGAGAGGAAGGUAGAAAUCCCGGUGUAGCGGUGAAAUGCGUAGAGAUCGGGAGGAAUACCAGUGGCGAAGGCGGCCUUCUGGACUGACACUGACACUGAGGUGCGAAAGCGUGGGUAGCAAACAGGAUUAGAUACCCUUGUAGUC
rnacentral:rRNA from 1 species